GACGAACGCUGGCGGCGUGCUUAACACAUGCAAGUCGAACGGAAAGGCCCUGCUUGCAGGGUACUCGAGUGGCGAACGGGUGAGUAACACGUGGGUGAUCUGCCCUGCACUUCGGGAUAAGCUUGGGAAACUGGGUCUAAUACCGGAUAGGAGCCAUCUUUAGUGUGGUGGUUGGAAAGUUUUUUCGGUGUAGGAUGAGCUCGCGGCCUAUCAGCUUGUUGGUGGGGUAAUGGCCUACCAAGGCGGCGACGGGUAGCCGGCCUGAGAGGGUGUACGGCCACAUUGGGACUGAGAUACGGCCCAGACUCCUACGGGAGGCAGCAGUGGGGAAUAUUGCACAAUGGGCGCAAGCCUGAUGCAGCGACGCCGCGUGGGGGAUGAAGGCCUUCGGGUUGUAAACUCCUUUCGCUAGGGACGAAGCGUUGUUGUGACGGUACCUAGAUAAGAAGCACCGGCUAACUACGUG
rnacentral:rRNA from 1 species